UUUCCCUUCGGAAAUAUCAGAUAUGAUUGGAACAGUACAGAGAAUAUUAGCAUGGCUCCCGUGUAAGGAUGAUCAGCACAAAUCGAGAGAUGGUCUCAGUUUUU
rfam:Punica granatum cultivar Dabenzi scaffold106, whole genome shotgun sequence.